rnacentral:rRNA from 1 species
AUGGCAAAUAAUCUUUGCCAUCUGCCAGCAGAUGGCAAAGAGGUUGGCAAAUCCUAUGACCGUCAAGCAUGUAACGGCGUACCAGCCCCACCUCUUUGCCAUCUGCCAGCAGACGACAAAGAUUCUUUGCCAUCUGCUGGCAAAAGGCAAAGAGAUGGGGUUAUUUUUUUCCAGGUAAAAAACACUGUGGGGUUAUCCCCUCCCUCUCUCCCAACCCAUCCAGGUAAAAAAAAGACGUUCGCAUCUCAUCCACACACCACCACCUACCUCCUCCCUCUCCGCCUCCUGCGCCCCUUCCUCCCACCCCCAUCCCCAUCCCGCUUCGCCUUCCCCCACCACCCCGACCUCCUCGACCUCUACCUCCCCGCCGACGCCUUCUUCGCCCCGCCCCCCAUCCCCUCCCCACACGCCUUCCUCCUGCACGACCUCACCGACCGCGUCGCCGCGCUCGAGCUCGCGGCCCGCACGGCCGCCCCGCAACCGGCGCGCCGCAAGUACACCUACGCGGCCACGGAGCCCGGCGGCCGGAAGGUCAAGUGGACGGCAGAGGAGAAGCCGCGCGGCGGGGGCCAGCCGCUCAAGUGGGAGGCGGAGCUCGCCUCCCCCAAUGACGAUGGAUUCGACCGCAAGUGGAGGUGGGAGGCCAAGUCCAAGGGCGGCGCCGGAGGCAAGACCAAGACCAAGUGGGGCACCGAGAUCAAGAGCAAAGGCUCGCUCGAGCCACGGUUGCGUGCCUACACCUGGGAGGAGGACUUCACCACCUCUGACGACGAUGAGGAUGAGCUGGAGGUCGAGGAGCGCAGGCCAGAGAAGCCCAAGAAGAUCAAGGCCGCCGCCAUGGACAAGGAGGUUGACAAGAACAAGAAGAAGCCGGCGAGGACGUGCGUCCAGAUCAAGGAGAUCCCCGAGGACAACACCGCCGGCUGCGACGCCAUCCGCAAGGCCUUUGCCAUGGGGAACGGCAAGGGGAAGGCCAAGGAGCUGUCGCCGCAGGAUGCCAUGUUGCUCAUCCAGAUGAACUACAGGGCGCACCUCGCCCACCGCUCCCAGGUGCUCAGCUGCCCGUGCGAUCUCGCCGUCGCCAAGGCCAAGCUCAAGGAGCCUCGGUCCCUCUUCUACAACCACUCCUACAGGCGCCGCCUCUCGCACGACCACGAGGAGCGCCAGAGGUUCUCCGAGAAGAUCAUUGUCCUGCUCCUCACUGUCGAAGCGCUCGAGGUGAGCUCCGUCACGGCCUGUUUACGAUUGCCGAUUGCUGAUUGCUGA